CUUGAACUGACACUGGCUGUCACCUAGCAGUUCACGUGAGGUGGAGUUGGGGAGUUAAACUGGUAGAAAGCUCAGCCUUUAGCAGCAGCAGAAGAAAAAAACGGAUUAGUUCUUAGUGGUUUUAGCUCACCGAACCAGGUCAUCAGGAUUUGAUGAGUACCAGUGGCACUGCUGGGGAUGGGGUAGAAAAGGCACGUUGAAGAGGGGCAAGAUCCCCUUUAGAAGGGCAGCGGCAAGACGGCAGCGCUGCGGUGGAAGGCAACCAACGAGGUCACGCGGCUUUUCACAAGGUCUGCCUGUGGGUAGGGAGAGACUUAAUCCGAACAACUGCAACCCAAAGAGCAAAGGUUUCCAGCAGCGGGUACUCUGGGGGGCUGCUUUUAUCUAUCGGUUCGUUAAUCUGCUGAGAUGCAUGACUCCGUGAGGCUGCGGUCGGAUCCGUCUCGCCUCGUGGUCAAGCGCUGACGAGUUUGCCCAGGCUGGCGAGUGAGUUUGGCUUCUAAUGCUGCUGCAACAACAAGCCCCUCCAAAAAAUUGGUUCGUGGAGGCCGCCAAUGAGCAAUCUCAGGAAUCUCUCCUUUUUUGAUACAGUAGUCAGAGCUGGAAGACUGUACGUGUGCCUUGUUAAAGUGGAUACUUUUUUUGGCUAGUUUCUGACCCUUUGAGCCUCUUUUAAAACAAUGGCAUUAUUUUCAAAUCAAAUUUUAUAAAAUGAACAUUGGCGUUGUUAAGAAGAGAUCAAAAUUUACAUAAGACUUCUAUUUAACCUAUUACCUAUGAAAAUUUACUUCAGGCUGAAACUUGUUUUCCAAAGUUUACAGCAUACAAAACAAAUGGUUUUUAAAAUUUCCUUACUUAGGAGUACCUUAAAUUGUGUUUUCUAAAAGGGGAAAAAAAAAUCUUGGAACCUUACCAGUUUAAUUUGCAUUUUGGCUCUGAUGUAACUCAAAAUAGAUUAGAUUAAAAAAGGAAAUUUGGCAAGUGAUUACUCAAUUACAUGAUUUUACUGCUUUGGUAUUUUGAAAAUAAAAAUGAACAGAUCUGUUUU